CGGACGCAUGAACCCGCCAAUGAGUCAUCCCUGAAAAACAGGGUAGCAUUAACGAAGGUUGCCGUUAAUUGAAUGUCUGACGCAAAAAGACAAUGAAACCCCUCCCAAUCCCGGUCUUAAUUUGAACUUUGAACCAUGUCACCUAUUUUCUCUUUUCUCCUCCUCGAACCCUCCAACUCCAACACAUCGGAGAGCACACGACACCGGCCACCGUUCAUCUGUCAUCAACCAUCGACGGCGAGACUCCGACGCUGGUCGAAGGUGAUCUGGAGCUCAGCUAACACCAGCGGCCAUGUGUGAUGUUUUGAACAGAUCAAAGGUGACCUGAAGCAAGGAACACCGCAAGAAAAAGAAGAGGAGAUGACCGCCGAUGGACGAUGGCCGUCGAUGGAGACAGGGUUCAAAGUUCGAACUAAGACCGGGACUGAGAGGGGUUUCAUUGUCUUUUUGUGUUCAUGCGUCCAGUACACCAACAGGUGCAGAGAAUGCGGACUCACCACCAUGUACCGGAAAGCCGAAUCGGAUUAACUACCACUGUCUGUGAGAUCGGUGUGAGGACCGCCUAGUGAGGAGCAGAUCCCAACUUCAAUGCACGAGGCUCCAAACUCGAAGUGGAUAAAAUAAAACGGUCGUUGGAAUUCAUGUUAUUUCUCUUUGUGGCGCCAAAUACAUGCCGGGCAGCUGCGCACGAUAAGGCCGAAGAAAGCAAUAAGCCAUGGCGCUCUGUAACCGCAGUACGGAGCUCUUCCUCCCUAAGCGAUAUUUCUGGUCGUAUCGCCCUUUCAAUAGAAUUUCAAACCCUGCAAUAUCUUUCUUUUCCUCUAAAAGGAUUUCGACUUCAUUCUCUCUUUGUUCUCGGACAACUUCUGAGGAAUCUUUUGAUGGAGAGAAUGCAAAGGAUCAACCUAAGAGGAUCUCUAAACAGUCGUCGUGGGAGGCGAAGGAUUCGCAGGGGAGGGAUUAUCUCUAUAGGCUGGGGAAAGAGGCAGAUAACAUGAACAUUGCUGUGGGAGCUAAGGCAGGGAUCAUCGAUGAUCUUUUCGUAGGAACCUUCCUCGGAAAAGAUUCGGAUAUUGUGUUUGAUUACCGGCAAAAGGUGACUAGAUCGUUUGAGUAUCUUCAAGGCGAUUACUACAUUUCCCCAGUUUUCAUGGAUAAAGUUGGUCGACUUAAGAGGAAAGAAUGUCUGGCAGGCUUGACUUCAAGAGGGGGAGUUCUAUCAAGGUUGCAACAGUUCUACAUAUGCCACAUUGUGAAGAAUUACAUUGCUCAUACUCUCAACACAAAAGUUCCUCUUAUCCUAGGUAUAUGGGGAGGAAAAGGACAAGGGAAGACAUUUCAGACAGAGCUUAUUUUUCGGGCCAUGGGAAUUGAACCGGUAAUUAUGUCUGCUGGAGAACUGGAAUCAGAGAGAGCUGGAGAACCAGGAAGGCUUAUACGUGAGCGGUAUAGAACAGCUUCUCAAGUGGUUCAGAACCAAGGAAAAAUGAGUUGUUUAAUGAUCAAUGAUAUUGAUGCUGGUCUAGGCAGAUUUGGAAACACUCAAAUGACAGUCAACAAUCAAAUCGUUGUAGGAACUCUGAUGAAUUUAUCUGAUAAUCCUACACGAGUUAGUAUUGGACAAGGCUGGAGAGAAUCAGAUGUUACACAUAGAAUUCCUAUUAUUUUUACAGGAAAUGAUUUUUCAACAAUUUAUGCUCCUCUGAUUCGUGAUGGAAGGAUGGAAAAGUUUUAUUGGCAGCCAAAUCGUGAAGACAUUGUAAAUAUUGUAUAUAGAAUGUAUGAAAAGGAUGGAAUAUCUAGAGACGAGGUUGUCAGAAUUGUGGACACAUUUCCUAAUCAAGCCUUGGAUUUUUAUGGUGCUCUUAGGUCGCGAACAUAUGACCGAUCAAUCUCUAAGUGGAUAAAUGAUAUUGGUGGGUUUCAAAAUAUUGCGAAGAAACUUCUGAAGAAAAUAAAGGAUGAUGGACUACCUACUUUUACCCCCCCAAAGCAAACUGUGGAGGCUUUACUGGAGUCGGGAUACUCUCUCCUCAAAGAACAACAGUUAAUAAUGGAGACAAAACUCUCCAAGGAAUAUAUGAAGAAUAUUGAUGGAUAGAAGGAACUGCCCUGAACCACCAUCUUAUCUAUACCUUUUGUCUUUAACACGGAGAAAAUACCACCCWUAGGAUGUAAGUGCAUGAUAAGUGCUCAGAAAUGGUGAUACGGAGUACAAACUUUACUAUUCUCCACAGCCAUUGCCUAUGCACUAGUGGCAUGCAUGUUAGUGUGUUAUGGGGAGACAUAGGACUGAUUCUUGCCUUCACCUAAUCACACCUUGUCUGGGGGAAUAUAGCCAAGGUUCAAAGUAUCAAACGGCAACGUAUCAAUGCAUAUUGUACUAUAUGUAUCCAUUUUUCCAGGUCACCAGAACAUUAAAUACAUGGAAAUUGAGGAUUCUCAUGGUUUUGAUUGUUCAAAACCCUCCCAAUGAUGACAUUCCUCAAGACCAGACCGAGAAUAGUGCAAAAACAAUUAGUAUCUUCGGAUCAAAAUCGUUUAGAUUACAUAGAAUUAACAUAUACUCGGCUUCCCAAAUUCAGUUUUACCUAUUUUUAAACCGUUUCUUAGAAAGAAUUCAUUUGUCUUCUCAUGACUCAUUUUGGUCAGUCCAUGGAUCACAUUACCAAGUUAGGAAGCUUUUUCACUGUCUGAAUAAGCAUUGGGUCAUUUUGAGAGCUUUUCUUUUCCUGUUAUUUUAAUCUUUAAUCUUCUUAUCCGCUUCCAUAGUGAGUGUGUAACUCAUACA